CUACGGGUGGCAGCAGUGGGGAAUAUUGGACAAUGGACCAAAAGUCUGAUCCAGCAAUUCUGUGUGUUUGAUGAAGGCCUUCGGGUUGUAAAGAACUUUAAGUAGGGAAGAAGAAAGUGACGGUACCUACAGAAUAAGCGACGGCUAAAUACGUGCCAGCAGCCGCGGUAAUACGUAUGUCGCAAGCGUUAUCCGGAAUUAUUGGGCAUAAAGCGCGUCUAGGCGGUUUACUAAGUCUGAUGUGAAAAUGCGGGGCUCAACUCCGUAUUGCGUUGGAAACUGGUAGACUAGAGUAUUGAGAGGUAGGCGGAACUACAAGUGUAGAGGUGAAAUUCGUAGAUAUUUGUAGGAAUGCCAAUGACGAAGGUAGCUUACUGGACAAAUACUGACGCUGAAGCGCGAAAGCUAGGGGAGCAAACAGGAUUAGAUACCCUCGUAGUC
rnacentral:rRNA from 1 species